rnacentral:misc_RNA from 1 species
GGUUAACCCAAACAAAAACACACGAGGAGAAAGUUCACUUAAUUGCCCUUCCUUUUCCUGUUCUGAAACAUAGUCGAUAAACAAUUUUUUAAAGCAAAUAUGACAUUACAGAACUGGAAUUGUCAAGCAUUAAAAGGGCAUGUAGGUCAAAGAGGACAAAGGACGAAUAAUCCACAACAAGAGGCCAGUACUACCAUAGAGAAAUACAUGUUCGACAGUCAAUUUUCUAUUCUCAACUGACCAUUGGGUCUGGACUUGCUGCGGGCACAAUAUCCAGCAGUGAGUUCACAGACUCAAUCUCUUCAUGCCAAAGUGGAAGAGUAUCACCCGGAUAGAACUUCCUUUUUACUCCAUCUUUGUUGAUAGUUAUAGUGCGUACUACACCGCCACUCGCACCAUCUCGUGCAAUGGCAAGAGACACCGCAGUCACAACCAGUUUCUCUGCUUCUUCAUGAGACAUUCCUUCCCUCCAUGCCUGAUCAAAGAAACCAUACAAAUAACUAGACCCAGACCCUCCAAUAGCAAAAGGCUGCUCCAAGAGUGUACCCCCAAGAGGAACCCCAUAUAUUUUACCCCCUUCGUAUUUGUCCCAUCCACCAACAAUCAUUCCUGUUUGAAGCAUGGCCUUAUUGUUAUAGGAUAUUUGCCUAAUAAGACUUGCCGCAACCUUGACAGUCGCUGGCUGGCCAAGUUGUAUCGUGUGUUGGUGUAGAAAGUAGCGCACGUAGUCUGAAACAACUUGUGAAUCUGCAGCCGAUCCAGAGCGACAAACAUAUACAUUGUCAGUGAGCUGAGUGAUCUUAUCUGAAGCCCUAUUUGCCACAUACAUUCCAGUGCUGGUACGGGAGUCGGCGCCGAGAACAACGCCACCGUUGUAAGUGACGCCGAUGAUGGUGGUUCCCAUGGAGUGUGGCUGCUCCACAUCGAGCGACGAUUUGUCCAUCUUAGGGUAAAGCUGAGAGAUCGAAGGAGGAGAGAAAUUGAAAAAUGAAAG